UCAAUGUCUUUGUCUCACCUUGCUUGAUUGAGAAGAGACUAUCGGAUGUCCGUGACGGCCUUCGAUUUGUACUGAAGUGGGCCACAAAAAAAUGCUCGAGCUGUUCGAAAGAGUUAAUGCUCUUCGAUUGAAGCCCAAAAUACCAGACUCGAGCAGCCUUCCGAAGAGUUGUCGGAAAACCAAUGCAUAAGAGGGCAUCGAUUAUCCCC
rnacentral:lncRNA from 1 species